GUCAGGAUGGCCGAGCGGUCUAAGGCGCUGCGUUCAGGUCGCAGUCCGGACUUCCGGGCGUGGGUUCGAAUCCCACUUCUGACA
rfam:Ixodes scapularis strain Wikel colony gcontig_1108378369398, whole genome shotgun sequence.